rnacentral:hammerhead_ribozyme from 1 species
AGCAGCUGAUGAGUCCUCAAUAGGACGAAACGCGCGUUCUGGAU